CUCCUGUCAGACGGGACGAAGGUGCCGGGGUAAAUAAUCCCGGUACUUGACGGUACUGUCAGAGGAAGCCCCCGGCUAACUCCGUGCCAGCAGCCGCGGUAAUACGGAGGGGGCGAGCGUUAUUCGGAAUUAUUGGGCGUAAAGGGCGCGUAGGCGGCCUGGCAAGUCAAAGGUGAAAUCCCUCGGCUCAACUGAGGAACUGCCUUUGAAACUGCAAGGCUUGAGGCCGGGAGGGGUAGCGGAAUUCCCAGUGUAGCGGUGAAAUGCGUAGAUAUUGGGAGGAACACCAGUGGCGAAGGCGGCUACCUGGACCGGUUCUGACGCUGAUGCGCGAAAGCGUGGGUAGCAAACAGGAUUAGAUACCCUGGUAGUCCACGCUGUAAACGAUGGGUGCUCGGUGUCGCGGGUAUCGACCCCUGCGGUGCCUUAGCCAACGCGUUAAGCACCCCGCCUGGGGAGUACGGUCGCAAGGCUG
rnacentral:rRNA from 1 species